rnacentral:rRNA from 1 species
UGGUAGUNCACGCCGUAAACGAUGAGUGCUAGGUGUUAGGCCCUUUCCGGGGCUUAGUGCCGGAGCUAACGCAAUAAGCACUCCGCCUGGGGAGUACGACCGCAAGGUUGAAACUCAAAGGAAUUGACGGGGGCCCGCACAAGCGGUGGAGCAUGUGGUUUAAUUCGAAGCAACGCGAAGAACCUUACCAGGUCUUGACAUCCCGAUGCUAUUCUUAGAGAUAGGAAGUUACUUCGGUACAUCGGAGACAGGUGGUGCAUGGUUGUCGUCAGCUCGUGUCGUGAGAUGUUGGGUUAAGUCCCGCAACGAGCGCAACCCUUAUUGUUGGUUGCCAUCAUUAAGUUGGGCACUCUAGCGAGACUGCCGGUAAUAAACCGGAGGAAGGUGGGGAUGACGUCAAAUCAUCAUGCCCCUUAUGACCUGGGCUACACACGUGCUACGAUGGUCGGUACAACGAGUUGCGAGCCGGUGACGGCAAGCUAAUCUCUGAAAGCCGAUCUCAGUUCGGAUUGGAGGCUGCAACUCGCCUCCAUGAAGUCGGAAUCGCUAGUAAUCGCGGAUCAGCACGCCGCGGUGAAUACGUUCCCGGGCCUUGUACACAC